ACACGUGAGCUUCCAUCUUGGGGCUAGGUUCCUAGUAAGGGCUUGUUAAUCAUGGCAAAGGCAACACAGCUGCUUCACGAGGCACCUGUUUUAUAGGCACAGACUGCUGGGGUUCUGGCUUUUUGGAGCAGGUCAGCUAGCAGGAGAAGUGUUGUCCCCGGUGAUGGAGGGCUUCUGGAUGGAGAGCUUCUGCUUGCUCUUCAGAGAGAUCUCACCUGUCGACUGCCUGCUCACGAAGAAAACCUGCGGCUGCGUUUAGGCACACUUCAAGUACGAUCUGGUUUGUAUCAAAGCCACCAGCACAGGUUUGUUUCUGUAUGUGGACUCCUGCAGCUUUAGGCCCUGCACCAUGCUGGCAUGCAGCACUGUGCACAGAGCCCUCGGUGCUCAGCCCGCAGGGGGACGCUUCCCCUGCUCGCAGAGGACCAGGACACAUCCUGCACCACAUCCUGCAGCAGCAGCCCCCAGGGACGUGCAGGUGCUGCCACCGGCCGCAUGCAGCAGCCCAGGAGGCAGCCAACCUCUCGGCACAGCACACGGAUGUGUGGGUGAGCCGAUCCCAUCCAGCCGCUGCUUCGUGCCCUUCUUGCCUGGGCGAAGGGGGCAGUUUCACGAAUUUCCUUGAAGGCUGAGAUUUUCAGGAUCUGAAGAGGUAUGGAUGUCACGUUCCUCGAGACAAAGCAGAUGACUUUUUUAUCUUCUGUUUUUAUCUUUCUGUUUUUGAAUUGCCAUGUUUUCGUGCAACAAUUUUUCCCAAAGGAGAAGAUGUUUAGAUCCAGGAUUUGGUUUCAAACCCCACGGGGGUUUGAAUCUGUCAGUUUGGAUUGGGUUUCCACAAACUCAUCUCUUUGUAGGAUGCAAAUCUGUAGCAUUGCAUCCGUUCAGCUUGUUUCAUCUGUAACACUAAGCCCAAAAGAAGAAAUAGCUGAACAGUAGGGGGUCCUGUUUGGGAAGGAAAUGAACAAAAUCCAGUUCUGCUGCCAGCAGAUGUGGAUGCUAUGGGAGCUGUGGCUUCUGCCUGUUUACAUCCAGACCAUAAUUACUCCCUGAGCUUUGUCUGGGCUGGCAGAGGUGCCAUGGCCUUGGAAGAAGCCCCCCAGGGGAAUCAGCAAGGAGCACAGCAAGCAGGGGCCUGGCCUCUCCCCAGCAGUGGGGAUCUCACCGAGGUGUGGGAAUCCUGCCCACAGACCCAGCGGGCACUGACCUUUCAGUCCCUUUGCAACAGACUGCAGCUUCUGCCUCCACCUGGGAGAGUCUUCAAAGCAACUGAGUUUUUAAUCAAAUCUUUACUCAUGGAAGCAUUUUCAUCAGCAUCCUUAUUUAAAUAUUCUUUGUCUACUUAAAAUAAGGGAGGCCAGCUUUCUAUCUGCAGACUCUGCCCUGGAAGAAGGGAAUGAAUUAUUCCUCAGGUAAUAUAAGUGCAUUGACUUGAGAGAAUAGAGGAUUUGUUCUCCUGAAUGCUCACAAAUGAAUGAAAUCAAGCACACCUAGGAAUGAUUCCUGCCCAGCUAUGAAACACAUGCCUGUACAUGCUGAUAGCGGUGGUUUCACCAGAAAGUAACAGCACCUGGGGCCUGCACGUGGUUUAGGUUAAACAUCUAAAAAUUAAAAAGUUUAAUCAAGCUAUGGGUGCAGAACCCCUCUAACCUUACAAGGGUUUAAAUGCCAAUGGCAGGAUUGAGAGAAAGUCAUCCUAUCCCGAAAUGCCAGGAAUGGCAGAGAGGUAAAUUGGACAGAAAAAAAGCAUUCAGGUUACAGCAUGUCCUGAGAAAAUUAACGAGACUAAAGGAAUGCACCUUCAGGAAAUUGUCAGCGAUAUCUUUCAGAUACUGACCUAUCAAGAAAGCACAGCUGUACUUAAGUACACUGGAUAAAAUUAUUAUAUGAAAUAAUGAGAUGUCUUCCAUAACAAGUCUCUCAAAUUAGCCAAGCUGCACGGGAGCAGCCACUUCUGUCAGUGGAAAGGAGCCUUACAGGGAUAAUGCCCUGCAGAAAUGCUUGGUCCUUUAGCUGCAUCCUUACUGAGCUCAUCAAAGCUUUUGCAAUUAACCUGAGGUCUUCGUAUUUACUCUUCUAUCUAUCAGUAUAUCAAAUAACAUUACAUAUUAUUAAAAAUAAUGGAAAAAAAAAUCUUACAAAAUACAGUACUACUCAUGCAUAAAAAUGAUAUUACAACUGAUCUGUACUGGGCCAUUAAUUCAGAAAUACAAUUUCCCCCCUUAAUUCUACAAGAAGGUACUUAUUUUUAAGGAAGAUUUGCUUAUAAUCUAGGGAUAAACUUUUUUUUCCCACAGUUAUUCUGUGGUGUUGUGCUAAACAACCACCAGGCGCUCACUUGAGGACCAGUUCCCUGCACAGGCUUUGACGAUGACCUGACAGCUAAGAGAGAAACCCAAAGAAAGCUAUUCAUCAAAUUCCUCCUUACUGAUGUCUGCAUGUUAGAAGCGUGGAGACUUUAUGUUUUCAAUGAAGCAUCUCAUUUUUUUCAGCAGCCCCCGCCUUCUGCUUUGAUGCCCAGCCUACGCUCAGUUGCCAUAUGACACCACGCUAAGGCAAAGACUGCAAGAGAAAAUUCUAAUUGGAUAUGAAAGCUCCCAUUACCAAUACAGGUGUUACAUUUAGUUUAACUGAAGAUCAGUAAUCACGUUCUCCUAUGAGUAUGCAAACAGUAAAUUUGUAAAAAGCCGCCUUCUCUUUCCAGGCUUGAGCUUAGCCUCUGUAAUCCUUCUGUUCCUAUAUGGAACAAAAUGUUCAACUUCCCCACGCUACAAGUGAAAACCCUGAGCUGAGAAAAAAUCAGCUCUUCGUAGGAGCAUAAAUAAACAUAUUUUCAAGCUCUCUGAUGGCAUGCUCACUCAAGCUUUUGCUCUGAGAUUUUGGCCUUGAGAAUAUUUAAAGUGCAAAAUUCAGCCAAAAUCAGCAUGUUCCACCGGGUUCUAUUUCAGCCUGAUUUAAUUCUGGUGUAAAAAUAUGUUCUGAUUCAGUUUGAUGGAAAUUCAGUCUGAAGUUCUUAAAAUAAGACUCCUCCAAAAUACACAGGGAGAGAGAACUUUUUCUUUCGGUUUGGCUCCCAGGCCCUGGACGAAGAUGGGUGCAGGAGCAGAAGCGCCACAGCCCUGUCCCCACAUGC